GAAUCCAUUUAAUUCAAUCACAGGUUGACCGUGGAAUCCGUUUGGAGUCUAAUUGUUUUAUAGAAAAUGG
rfam:Candidatus Pelagibacter ubique HTCC1062, complete genome.